GACGAACGCUGGCGGCGUGCUUAACACAUGCAAGUCGAACGGAAAGGGCCGGCUUUUGUGGGGUGCGCGAGUGGCGAACAGGUGAGUAUCACGUGAGUAACCUGCCCUUGACUUUGGGAUAACUUCAGGGAACUGGGGCUAAUACCGGAUAUAAGCUCCUGCUGCAUGGGGGGGGUUGGUAAAUUUCGGCGGUUGGGGAUGGACUCGUGGCUCAUCAGCUUGUUGGUGGGGUAGUGGCUUACCAAGGCGUUGACGGGUAGCCGGCCUGAGAGGGUGACCGGCCACAUUGGGCCUGAGGUACGGGCCAGACGCCUACGUGAGGCAGCAGUGGGGAAUAGUGCACAAUGGGCGGAAGCCUGAUGCAACAAUGCCGCGUGCGGGAUGACGGCCUUCGGGGUGUAAACCGCUUUCGCCUGUGACGAAGCGUGAGUGACGGUAAUGGGUAAAGAAGCACCGGCUAACUACGUG
rnacentral:rRNA from 1 species